rnacentral:rRNA from 1 species
UACGGAGGGGGCUAGCGUUGUUCGGAAUUACUGGGCGUAAAGCGUGCGCAGGCGGUUCGUUAUGUCCGAUGUGAAAGCCCCGAGCUUAACUUGGGAAUGGCAUUGGAACUGGCGGGCUGGAGUGCGGCAGAGGGGGGUGGAAUUCCACGGUGUAGCAGUGAAAUGCGUAGAGAUGUGGAGGAACACCGAUGGCGAAGGCAGCCCCCUGGGCCGACACGUGACGCUCAGGCACGAAAGCGUGGGGAGCAAACAGG